AGGGCAGCCACAGGGAGGAGGAACACAAGGAGCAGGCAGGCAGAAAGGCAGGGGGAAGCCAUGAUGGAUCUGAGAGCCACAAACAAGGGGGCCGAGCCUGCAGCCGGGACGCCGGUCAGUAAUGAAUCAUAUCAAGGAAAAACAAGACGGGAUAACGCACAAGCUUAAGAUUUCUACCACUGCCAACUCCCAGUGGCUUCACCAGCUCUUAUGCAUGAAAUUGUUCUCAGUCCUGGGAGUCGAAUGACCAAGAGGGAGUUUUAGCAGCUACUAAGUCAUUUGGACAGGUAGACCAACAGCUCUUGGAUGUCGUGCCAAUAUGUCAGCCAGCAACCC